UCCUGGCUACAGAACGAACGCUGGCGGCAUGCCUUACACAUGCAAGUCGAACGGCAGCGCGGGGCAACCUGGCGGCGAGUGGCGAACGGGUGAGUAAUAUAUCGGAACAUACCCUAGAGUGGGGAUAACGUAGCGAAAGUUACGCUAAUACCGCAUACGCACUAAGGUGGAAAGUGGGGGAUUCGCAAGAACCUCAUGCUCAUGGAGUGGCCGAUAUCUGAUUAGCUAGUUGGUGAGGUAAAGGCUCACCAAGGCGACGAUCAGUAGCUGGUUUGAGAGAACGACCAGCCACACUGGAACUGAGACACGGUCCAGACUCCUACGGGAGGCAGCAGUGGGGAAUUUUGGACAAUGGGGGCAACCCUGAUCCAGCAAUGCCGCGUGAGUGAAGAAGGCCUUCGGGUUGUAAAGCUCUUUUGUCAGGGAAGAAACGGUGAGUUCUAAUAAAGCUUGCUAAUGACGGUACCUGAAGAAUAAGCACCGGCUAACUACGUG
rnacentral:rRNA from 1 species